GACGCUGCCAUCUAUCCCCUCCCUUCAGAAGCUCAUCUUCCAACUCGACGCCCCAAACCUCUCCGUCUCUCACCUCUGCUUCAUCUCCCAACAGUCGGUGCCAUAAACUUCCAGACCUUGAAGAUUUGGCGGGACUCCAACCUCCGCUGCGUAGAGUCCGUCAAGGGGCACGAGGACGCCGUGAGUGCGGUGGCGGUGGCGAAGGACGGGACCGUCUACACCGGGUCGGUGAACCGUCGAAGCCGGGUGUGGGGGAGACCGCAAGACGAGAAGCGCCACGUGUUGGUGGCGACGCUGGAGAAGCACAAGUCGGCGGUUGUCCUUCGCGUCUCUCUCUGGCCGUAGUGGCUGACGUCAGCCAUGUGGGGAGCUCGGGCCG
rnacentral:lncRNA from 1 species